UACGCAGGGACCAAGCGUUGUUCGGAUUUACUGGGCGUAAAGGGCGCGUAGGCGGCGCGGUAAGUCACUUGUGAAAUCUCUGAGCUUAACUCAGAACGGCCAAGUGAUACUGCAGUGCUAGAGUGUGGAAGGGGCAAUCGGAAUUCUUGGUGUAGCGGUGAAAUUCGUAGAUAUCGGGAGGAACACCGGUGGCGAAGGCGGCGACCUGGGUAGAUACUGACGCUGAGGUGCGAAAGCGUGGGGAGCAAACAGG
rnacentral:rRNA from 1 species